rnacentral:ncRNA from 2 species
AGCUUACGCCCACUCUCAGGUGCUGAUGGUGGAUACAGCUAUCAGUUAAACGGGAAGUUGGUGAAUACAGUGUGUGAUUCCAACGCUGCCCCCGCAACGGUAAUCGAGAUAAGAACGGCCAAGAUGCCACUGUGCUUACGCAUGGGAAGGUGGUCGUUCGGAAAGAAGUGGCUUGCUUAAGUUGAUUGUGCAAGCUGUCUUUCGCUCGUUAGCCCGGAGACCGGCCCGAGAGUAUAGGUUCAA